GGUAGCGUGGCCGAGCGGUCUAAGGCGCUGGUUUUAGGCACCAGUCAUUUCGAUGGCGUGAGUUCGAAUCCCACCGCUGCCU
rfam:Ciona savignyi cont_33706, whole genome shotgun sequence.